rnacentral:rRNA from 1 species
AACGCUGGCGGCAGGCCUAACACAUGCAAGUCGAACGGUAGCACAGAGGAGCUUGCUCCUUGGGUGACGAGUGGCGGACGGGUGAGGAAUAUAUCGGAAUCUACCCAAUCGUGGGGGAUAACGUAGGGAAACUUACGCUAAUACCGCAUACGCACUGAGGUGGAAAGCAGAGGAUCGCAAGACCUUGCGCUAUACGAGCGGCCGAUGUCAGAUUAGCUAGUUGGUAGGGUAAAGGCCUACCAAGGCGACGAUCUGUAGCGGGUCUGAGAGGAUGAUCCGCCACACUGGGACUGAGACACGGCCCAGACUCCUACGGGAGGCAGCAUGGGGAAUUUUGGACAAUGGGCGAAAGCCCUGAUCCAGCCAUGCCGCGUGAGUGAAGAAGGCCUUCGGGUUGUAAAGCUCUUUCGGCUGGGAAGAAAUCGCACAGGCUAAUACUCUGUGUGGAUGACGGUACCAGCACAAGAAGCACCGGCUAACUACGUG